rnacentral:rRNA from 1 species
CUAGCCGUAAACGAUGGGUACUAGGUGUGGGAGGUAUCGACCCCUUCCGUGCCGGAGUUAACGCAAUAAGUACCCCGCCUGGGGACUACGAUCGCAAGAUUGAAACUCAAAGGAAUUGACGGGGGCCCGCACAAGCGGUGGAGUAUGUGGUUUAAUUCGACGCAACGCGAAGAACCUUACCAAGGCUUGACAUAUAGAGGAAACGGCCAGAGAUGGUCGCCCCGCAAGGUCUCUAUACAGGUGG